rnacentral:lncRNA from 1 species
GAUGUUUCUUGCUUGUCCUUUUGUAGGAAGAUCCACAGCUAUUAUCACUUAACCAGCAGACCUGAUUUCAUCUCAGAUACUGGAAGUCCUUUAACUCCAGGCAAGGAGUGGGCGGACUAAAAUUGCUAUUACACUAAGCCUGGCAAACGAAAUGGGUCUCUUUCUUCUCCCACAUUCAGUAGCAACUCAGCUGACAUCAACUUGGUUGCCUGUGAUUUACAACAGUGUGGGAGGAUAACAGAGCCCGUGUGUUUAAUAGGCUCUAGGUGCAGGUGGCCAGUCCUAUGUGAGGGGCUGGAUCUGAGACUUGCAAAGUAGCGCUGAUGAGCCACAGACCAGACAGCCUUUGGUAAUGAUGUUCCUGGAGGAGCAGAGUGCUGGGUCCUGGGAAGCAGGAGGAUGGGGUAUCAGUGACUGCUUAGGUUUCCCUACCUUCAGGAGAAGGACCCACCUACCUUGUGCUACUACUCAGUGGUAUUCACAUGGAGAACAUGAUGACUCUGUUUUGAGAUGCUGUAGGCAGUGCCACGCACUAGGACAGCUUGAGUCCUGCCUGCAUGUGGGCAAGAGGUCCUGCUUCCAACAAAGUUUGAACUCCAAAGGGGCCAGUGCCUUGUGGGAGUGAGCUGCCAACUCAACCUGUGCCCAGUGUCUGCUUUCCUGCCCCCAGGACUUUGGUGCAAGCUGGGUGUUAUUAGCUUGCUUCUGUGUGAGGCAGUGCUUAAGGGUGGUAUAUGCACUUCGGCUCAUUAAAGCUCAUGCCCUGGUGAUAGGCAAUGUUCUUUCUGUUCUCUAUGAGAGAAUAGGAAGCUAGGUGCAAAGAUGUUAAGCAGAUGAAGGUCAUGUAAAUGGUAUUUAUCCAGGUGCUCUUCCUCUAGCACUCAUGCUGUUCUGUUUCAGCAUCAUUGCCAGCACCGGUGUUAGGCAUCCUAAUGUAUAGACAAGACAGUAACAUCUUUAUCUUGUCUAGCAUAGACAAAAACUCUAGAUACCCUGCUGAUAAAAAUUCUGCUGGCAGAUGUCUUAUCACUUCUCCCUACAGCCACAUGGAAAAAAGAAGAAGAAAAAAAAAAAAGAAGGAGAUGCUCUAGUAGAUGAGAUUUGGCCUGUGGACUUCUCCCUCCCACUGCUGUACAUGGCCUGCUCUCCGGCACUCCCUGCAAAUGCUAAAACCAUGCUUGAAAAUCCUUUGUGGCAGCACUUGCAGAGCAGUGUAGGGCUCGCUCCUGGCAGUGGUUGCUGGAGGUGGCAGCA